rnacentral:rRNA from 1 species
AUGGUCGUGGGAAUGGAUUGGCUGGAGCAAUGUGGGCCAAUGUUAGUGGAUUGGGCAGCCAAAACACUCCAGUUUGACCACGAAGGACGUCAAGUGGUGCUGCAAGGAUUACAAGCAAAAACGUCUCAAGUGCAACAGGUAGACAUGGCGCAGCUGUUAGCCUUGGAGAGCAACAACUCCAUUGCACAUAUUGUGGUGUUGUACUCAGCUGAGCAAAGUGAAGGAGAAGACCCAAUACCAGCAGAACUACAGCAAAUUGUAGAUGCCUUCCCUGAAGUGUUUGCUGAACCAACUGAACUUCCAGAGCACAGAAGUUGGGACCACUCCAUUCCGUUGAUACCUGGGGCCAACCCCAUCAACAUCCGACCGUAUCGGUAUACACCAGAACAAAAGGAUGAGAUAGAAGCCCAAGUGAAGGAAAUGCUAAGAUUGAGGCUAAUUGUACCAAGUAACAGUCCGUUCUCAUCCCCGGUGCUCUUGGUCAAGAAAAAAGACCAAACAUGGCGAUUUGCAUUGACUUCAGGCACCUCAAUGCUAUCACGCUGA